AAAUUUAUUUCAUGGCUCAGGAUGUGAUAAUCAUAAUCAAUGUCCCUAUGAACUUGAGCAGAAUGUACUCUUUUGUUGUUGGGUAUAGGGAUUUACAAAUGUAAAUUUGUUUGAUACUUUUCAAAUGUUCUAUAAUUUUAGUGUUUUUAUUAAGUCUAAUUCUCACACCAAUUACUGAGAGAAAGAUGCUGAAAUUUUCAACUGCUUGCAGAUUUGAUUUUUCAUUUGAGUUUAUUUUUUUCUUGCAUUCUGAAGCUUUACAACAGUAUCCUUCCAUUUCUUCCAUUAUCUCUUGAGGUAUAUUGAUCUAUUUUCCUAAGGUAUAUAUUUGAAAUUCACAAAGCCUUGAUACUAUUUUGCUUUAACCAAACAACUAUCUUUUAAAGAUUUCUUUACAUACUAAAAAUUAUAUUUAGUAGCAUAGUUUUAUCUGCCCAUUUCAUUAUCUGUCAUUCCUAGGUUUAAUUCUAUCCAGAAUUUUUUUUUUUCUUGUUAUGGGUCAUAUUCUUCCGCUUCCUCAUUUGUUGCUGUUGUUGUUUUUAUACAACAUGUAAUUUUCUGUUGCUGAGUGGUAAACUUUAUUGUUCUUUUUUCAAAGAUUGUUAAAUAAUUUUUCCAGGGUUUCUGUAGCCUUCAAUGAAUGUAUCAUAUAUAUAGCAAAUUCUCUACUCUCUAAAUGGAUUUUGAGCAACUCCCAGUCCUUUGUGAGAUCUAGGAAUUGUUUGUCUGAAGGAUCUCUAAUUUUAUUUUUGCAAAUUCUUGACUAGUUACAUAUAUAUUCUGUCUAUGCAUGUUCAGAUCACUAUAUAAAGACUCAAGAGGUGACCGUAUGAAAAUUUCUGGAACACUUUCUCCACAUAGCUCCCUCCUCUCUGGAAUGGUAACUUCAGGCUUCCUGAUCUCAAGUUUCUGUCUCCUCAAGUCAGCAUGCCAUGUUCUUCUCUGUCUCCUCAACUCAGGGAACAUACCAUGUCCUUCUGGAUUUCCUCAAAUCAGGGAGAAUACUAACUUCUUCACUGCAUCACAUGCUGAAAACUACCUCCACACAGAAAGUCUGGGCAAAGAAACGUGUUCUAUAGUGUUUCUUACUUUUUCUGUCUCUGCCACGUGAAGACACAGCAAGAAGGCAGCCAUGCUUCCUCACCAGAACCAGACCAUGCUACCACUCUGAAUGUAGACUUCUGGCCUCCAGAAAUGAGUGUCCAGUUUGAAAUGUGCCAAAAUCUCAUAAAAGUUGUCUGUGAUACAUCAGUAAAGGCUGGACUCAAGACCCAAAAACUCUAUCACAGAUAGUUCUUCUCAGUAAUUGCGUAAAAGCAACAGAGCUACUGGACCAGAAGACCCAUUGUUAAAUAAACCACGGGCAUCUCAAUAAUAACUGGCAUGGACAAAAAUCUAGUGACUGGAGGAUUCUCCUGCAAUGCAUAUCCGAGAUGCCAGCAAAAAUGGUGAAGUAAGGAUCCCACCAAAUUCUCUCCUCCAUAAAAGCAAGAAAACUAGCAGGAAUUGUCAUCAUCAACUUUUUCAGAGCUCUGGAAAUUAACCAAAGGCUUGCAACAAUCCAGGAGUGUUUAUUCAAGAAAAAUAACUGAAUCUUGGCAAUAACUGUGAACUUUAUUGUAUUGUAACUUGUCCUGGUCCCAUUCUCCAUCCUACAGCUGCAAGUGAGCCUUGAAAAAUAACAAUCUACGUUCAUGGUGAAAACCAGCGGCCUUAAGGACAUUGGAAGGAGAUGUAUAAGGCUGAAGCUCCCUCAAAGCUCUUUCCAAGAGAACUGUCUUUAUUUUACUGAUCUGGUGGUUUUCCUGGAAGACACUAGUUACAAGACUCUUUGUAUUGAACUGACUUAGAGCUCACUCUACGUGAAAGCUAUUUCCUCAGGGGCAUUUUUGAAAACAAUUAGAGACAAUUGUUAAACUUCACAGUUUAAGACUGUGAAUAAGAGUUGGAACAAACAAUUGACUAACCAAAACCCUUUAAAGGAAAAUCAGGGUAAUGAAGUGUUCACAGGGGUUUCAUGAAGUUCUAUAAUUCCUCGGAUCUAGGAUACAGAAAGCUUUUUGCCUACACAGAGCUAUACACAAAUUAGGGAAGAUCUGAGAAGGCCCUAAUCUUUUUACUUUACAGGUAAACUUUAGGGUACACCUGAGUAAGAAGUCAAAUCUAAGCCAGGGUUGUCAAAGUCAGGCUGAGCAUUGAAGACAUGACCUAUGAUGAGGAGAACAGAGGCAAAAGAAGUGUAGACAAAAUUAAAUUUCCUUACAAGUUGAAGCCCAUUGGUAAAUACCUGAGGCAGGCAGAGUAUGAUUUUCUCAAGGAAUUCACAACUGCCUUAAUGUUAAUGCUUUGCUGGAGACAAAAAAGCAACCUUACCUUGACAAUAGUUAAGGAUCCUGUAAGUCUUCUUUAACAUAUGAAAGUGCUUUUAAAGACUUCCUUUAUCUCUACCCACCAACAUAUAAGUAUAUAAUCAAUCACUCCUCAUAAUCACAGGGCAGUUCUUUCUGCCCAAGGGUCCUGUCCUUGUGCUUUAAUACAUCUUUUUCACCUGAAAAUAUCUCAAGAAUUCUUUCUUGACCAUUCACUCCCAGUCCACGUCACAUCAACCUACAUUCACACAGAAUUUGUCCACAAAGUUUGGGGAAAUUAUUGGUUUCAGUUAAAAAACCUCUCUGUCCAAUCAUUAGCUAACCACUAAAUUAACUAAACAGAGACCUCAGUUAACACACAUGAGAAGGAAUACAGACUUGACAGCAUCAUUAUGGAAAAGUCACUAGACCAAACAAAGAAACAACAAAGCAAACCUAUAAUAAACAGCAAUAGAAAAAAUCCUUGGGGAGAUGAUGCUAACGUUUAUAUUAUUUAAAAUGUUUAUUUUCAACCAAAAAAUUAUGACACAUGUAAAACCAACAAGAAAAUAUGGCCAAUAUACACAAGAACUUAUUCCAUAGAAACUGUCCCUGAGGAGAUGCAGAUGUGGAACUUAAUAAACAAAGGCUUUAAAUCAGUUAUUUUAAAUAUGUUCGAAGAACUAACAAAAGCAAUGCUUACUGAACAAAGGAAAAAAAAAAACAGACAAACCAAAAAAAAA